rnacentral:rRNA from 1 species
UACGUAGGGGGCAAGCGUUGUCCGGAAUCAUUGGGCGUAAAGAGCGUGUAGGCGGCUCGAUAAGUCUGCUGUGAAAGUCCAGGGCUCAACCCUGGAAGGCCGGUGGAAACUGUCGGGCUGGAGUCCGGAAGAGGCGAGUGGAAUUCCCGGUGUAGCGGUGAAAUGCGCAGAUAUCGGGAGGAACACCAAUGGCGAAGGCAGCUCGCUGGGACGGUACUGACGCUGAGACGCGAAAGCGUGGGGAGCAAACAGG